CGCGCGCAUAGGCCAGGAAGCGCGCAAAGCACGGCGGGAGGCCGGCGCAGAUGACGUCGACGCCCGUCUUGGCCUUGCAGUCGCGGAUGCGCGCGCAGCGCUUGGCCUUGUUGUGGCCCGGCACGCUGUCCCACGGCAGCGAGCCCUUGGCCAACUGGACCAGCGUGUAGGCCAGGGCCUCGAGGUCGUCCCUCCGGCUCUGCACUGUUGGUCGACGGAGCGAGACGGGAGGAAGGCGUGAUUGUCGUUUUUUUCCGUAUUGCAUUGUUAUUGUUGUCGUCAGCGUCGUCCGAAAUUCACGCCGUGCCAUCCGACAUUGCCGUUGUCGGAAAACAAAAAAAAAAGAGACCACACAUAUACGCGCACACAUACAAUGACAAUAGGAAAAGCGCCAACAAAAAAAUGUCAGAGGUGGCCAGCCGAUGGGGACGGAAAAACUGC
rnacentral:lncRNA from 1 species